rnacentral:rRNA from 1 species
CCAGGCGCGAAAACUCCACACUGUACGACAGUACGAUGGGGUUAUCUCGAGUGCAGUCCGAUAAGGGCUGCUUUUCCAUAGAGUAAUAUCCUGUGGGAAUAAGAGGGGGGCAAGACUGGUGUCAGCCGCCGCGGUAACACCAGCCCCUCGAGUGGUGGGGACUAUUAUUUGGUCUAAAGCGUCCGUAGCUGGCUGUAUCCGUCCCCCGUUAAAUCCAGCGUCCUAAACGUUGGACUGCGGGUGAUACCAUACAGCUAGAGGGUGGGAUAGGUGAGCGGUAUUUCUGGGGUAGGGGCGAAAUCCUUUGAUCCCAGGAGGACCACCAGUGGCGAAGGCUGCUCACUAGAACACGCCUGACGGUCAGGGACGAAAGCUGGGGCAGCGAACCGGAUUAGAUACCCGGGUAGUCCCAGCUGUAAACGAUGCUAGCUAGGUGUUGGGUCGGCCACGCGCCGCCCCAGUGCCGCAGGGAAGCCGUUAAGCUAGCCACCUGGGGAGUACGGCCGCAAGGCUGAAACUUAAAGGAAUUGGCGGGGGAGCAC